rnacentral:misc_RNA from 1 species
CUGAGGGAUAAAACUUUAUUAAUUUCAAUAGCAUUGGAGUUCAUAUUUGAUAAUAUCAAAUGGACAAGAAAAAAUAAGUUUAUCAGCAAAAGAGUUUCUCAAAAUCUCACCAAUAUCACUCAACCCUCAACCCUGAAUCCAAAGAAGAGUUCUCUAUAUUCUAUUUUAAGGUAAACGAGGAAGAAGGCUCCCGCAACGGUAUGUCUUUGAUUUAAAGGGACCAUCAGAAGAUAACUAUAAGUACAUAUUUAUUUUUUUUAUAAAUUGUUGUUCUCCACUCCAGAGAUAUUCCGGAGGAAUGUCCCCUGCUAAAACUUCCACCACCCGACUCAUUUGUGGUCGCUCUUGAGAGGAACGACGUACACAGGCUAAAGCACAUGUAAUCAUCCGAAUCAUUUUAUUUUCAUCAAAAUUGUUCUGCAAUUUAUUGUCAACAAAAUUAUACUCGCCAUGCAGCAAACCAUCUCCGAGCACAGGUUCCGCCCAUUCAACUAUGCUAAUGUCAUCAUUAGGUUGCUUUCCAGUGAUUAGCUCCAUAAGAAUUUCACCAAAGAAAUAAACAUCGGUCUUGACAUAUGUAGAAGUCGUAAAACUGCAGUCGAAGAUGGAAAAAGAGCUAAGAUAUGAGAAUUAUUGGAACUGAGGUGAACGCGAAACACUCAAAAGGAAAAGAAAAUAAAGGAGCAUACUAUCAAAUAAGGAAUUACAGGGAAGAGAAAGAGAACAUAGACCACACUUUUUUUUUAUAUAAGCGGAUAUAUUUUAUUAAUAAUGAAAGCU